GGGAGCAGCGUUGAACUUUUGGUACACAUGUCAAUGUAAUUGCUUACAGCAUGACCGUAAUCGAUUACACAGGCUCAAAGAGUCUCGAACUCUCAACCACUGAACACGUGUUGGUCCUCAGGAAGGGACAUGUCAUCCCAGACUAUCAACCUAGAAAAUAACCAAGUCAUGACAAACAACAACACACUAGGGAGCCCCCUAUAGCAGAGUCAGGGAGCAGCGUUGGACUUUUGGUACACAUGCCAAUGUAAUCGCACACUGCAUGACCGUAAUCGAUUACAAAGGCGAAUCACUCACACAAUCCCCCUUCCUCACACUUGCACUUGGAUCAAACACUCUUACAGACCUGGAAAAUAACCAAGUCAUGACCAACAGCAGACUGGGGAGCCCCCUCUAGCAGGGGUAGGGAGCAGCGUUGGACUUUUGGUACAAAUGCGAUUGUAAUCGCUUACAGCAUAACCGUAAUCGAUUACACAGGCGAAUCACUCACACAGUCCCCCUUCCUUACACUUGCACUUGGAUCAAACACUCUUAAAAACCUGGAAAAUAACCAAGUCAUGACCAACAACAGCACACUAGGGAGCCCCCUCUAGUAGGGGCAGGGAGCAGCGUUGGACUUUUCGUACAAAUGCGAAUGUAACCGCUUACAGCAUGACCGUAAUCGAUUACACAGGCGAAUCACUCACACAGUCCCCCUUCCUCACAGUUGCACUUGGAUCAAACACUCUUACAGACCUGGAAAAUAACCAAGUCAUGACCAACAACACACUGGGGAGCCCCCUCUAGCAAGGGCAGGGAGCAGCGUUGGACUUUUCGUACAAAUGCGAAUGUAAUCGCUUACAGCAUGACCGUAAUCGAUUACACAGGCGAAUCACUCACACAGUCCCCCUUCCUCACACUUGCACAUGGAUCAUACACUCUUACAGACCCUUAAUCCCAGACUCUCAAUGGUAACCGAUUACAACAUGUUGGUAAUUGAUUACACACGCACUC
rnacentral:lncRNA from 1 species